CCACUGUUAACUGCAAUUUCUACCUUCUUCCUUCAGCAGUUUCCAUUAUGCCUCACAGGGGCUGCUACCCUAAGUUGGUUCACAGACAUUCCUCCAAACGUCAUACAGAGUUGGAGUUGUUGCCUAAGGUCUUCUGCAACAACUUCUACUCCAUAUCAAUUUAUCCUCAACACAUGCGUGUCUAUAAAGUUUUCUUUUAUCACUAUUUCCAUUUAUUCUCAAUGGGUCAUUCUGAUCAACAUAACAGAAAAAAAAAAGUUUCUUCUAG
rnacentral:lncRNA from 1 species